rnacentral:lncRNA from 1 species
UGUGCAGUUGAGUUCCCUUCAGGGUUUGGAGGCUGCUCUGAACUCCGUUAGCUCUUCUCUCACUAUCUUUUUCCAGCCAGUGUAAUAGGAAUAGAAUUUCCCUUUUGUUUCACUGAAACUCUGAAUUUAUAACUUGAUUUUUGUGGACCUGUGGGCUCAAAUGAGAGCGGUCCAAGUCCAAGAUUGUUUCUUUUAUUUAUUUAUUUAUUUUAUUUUAUUUUCUUUUUCUUUUUCUUUUUCUGUUUUUUUUUUCCGUUUUUUUUUCAAAACACGUGGGCUUCGCCUAGCGAGCAUGACAGCUCAUGAACAAACCUUUGCUCCUUCAAGAUUAACGUUUUGACUGAUGAAUAGACCCCUGUUGGAAGUAACUUAAGUCUUUCCCUUGUGUUGACUGAUCAUCUAAAUAGAGCCCACAAAGUGUCCUGGAUGAUGUUCAAGCUUCUUGGAUCCGAUUUCGAUUGCUAAAUGACCUAAAAAUGAAUGCAUGCAUGAGGUGUAAAGCGUAUGCUUCCAGGAAAAAUAAAGGGUAAAUUU